rnacentral:rRNA from 1 species
AUUGAACGCUGGCGGCAUGCUUUACACAUGCAAGUCGAACGGCAGCGCGGGCUUCGGCCUGGCGGCGAGUGGCGAACGGGUGAGUAGUACAUCGGAACGUGCCCAGUAGUGGGGGAUAGCUCGGCGAAAGCCGGAUUAAUACCGCAUACGACCUGAGGGUGAAAGCGGGGGAUCUUCGGACCUCGCGCUAUUGGAGCGGCCGAUGGCAGAUUAGCUAGUUGGUGGGGUAAAGGCCUACCAAGGCGACGAUCUGUAGCUGGUCUGAGAGGACGACCAGCCACACUGGGACUGAGACACGGCCCAGACUCCUACGGGAGGCAGCAGUGGGGAAUUUUGGACAAUGGGCGAAAGCCUGAUCCAGCAAUGCCGCGUGUGUGAUGAAGGCCUUCGGGUUGUAAAGCACUUUUGGCGGGAACGAAAAGGACUGUGCCAAUACCACGGUUCGAUGACGGUACCCGCAGAAUAAGCACCGGCUAACUACGUGC